GGACGAAAGUAGGGGAUCGCAAGACCUUGCGCUUUUGGAGCGGCCGAUGCCUGAUUAGCUUGUUGGUGAGGUAAAAGCUCACCAAGGCUCCGAUCAGUAGCUGGUCUGAGAGGACGACCAGCCACACUGGGACUGAGACACGGCCCAGACUCCUACGGGAGGCAGCAGUGGGGAAUUUUGGACAAUGGGGGCAACCCUGAUCCAGCCAUGCCGCGUGAGUGAAGAAGGCCUUCGGGUUGUAAAGCUCUUUCAGCCGGAACGAAACGGUCACGGUUAAUACCCGUGACUACUGACGGUACCGGAAGAAGAAGCACCGGCUAACUACGUGCCAGCAGCCGCGGUAAUACGUAGGGUGCGAGCGUUAAUCGGAGUUACUGGGCGUAAAGCGUGCGCAGGUGGUUUUGUAAGUCAGAUGUGAAAUCCCCGGGCUUAACCUGGGAACUGCGUUUGAAACUACAAAGCUAG
rnacentral:rRNA from 1 species